GCCAGAGUGGUGGAAUUGGCAUACACAACAGAUUUAAAAUCUGUCGCCGUAAGGCUUGCGGGUUCAAGUCCCGCCUCUGGUACCA
rnacentral:tRNA from 1 species